rnacentral:lncRNA from 1 species
GAGGCAUGAGGUUCACGCAGCCAGAGUAGAUGACAGCCCUGGGAUGGCCUGUGUUGCAGGCUGGGCCCCAGCCCUGGCUUCUGGUCUUGCGCCGAGCCCCGGGUGCUCCCGAGCUGGCCGGGAUGAAUGCUCCUGUCUCAGACCCCAGCCUGGGGCACCCAUGUGGCUUCUCCUGGGUGGGGCUGGCCCCUGAGCCCACCUUGGCUUGAUGAGCUGGGGCUGUAGAAGCAGGGGCUUGCCUCUUUAGCAUCUGCUCCUCAGAGAAGGGGUCCUACAUUUGCUGGAACGUUCCCUGUGCUUGCUGCUCUGCACGCCCCUCCGUUGCCCCUCUGCAAACUGUGGUCCCGCACCUGUGUGUUCACUUGCUUUAUGAGGUUAGGAGCUGCGGUCCCAGGGGCCUUGGAGGAGUGGCCAGGCCAGACGACACUUCAGCUGGUGGUGUCCCAAGGGGAUUCUGCCUCCAGAGGCACCUCGAGAGACCAGCACUCUGCGGGGUCCUUCUCUUUGGUUCCUGCCCCUCCCCUUUUCCAAGGGAUCAAGGUCAGGAAGCAAAUGAGAUUCCCUGGUCCCCAUCUCCCUCCCACCCCCCACCCAGAGAAAGAUGCUUUUAUGUCCUUUCAGGCGUCCCCCAGGAGCCGAGGAAGAAAGGCAGGGAAGACAGGCUAGGACCACUUGGCUGGAGAAACAGCAGGCCAUUUUCCAGCUGGAUCUAAAUGAAAGAUUUGGCAGCCCGCCAGCCCACAGCAUCCGCCAGAAUCCCUCCCUGGGGACUGGCGAGACUCAGCCGCUAUCUGCAGUGCCGCCUGCGCCUUCCAGACGAAGGGUCCUCCCUCCUCCCUGAGCUUGACCUUCCCUCUGUUAUUAGCAGUGAUGUCACUAACAAUGAUUAUUCUUCUGCAGUUAUUAUCAUGCACCUUCUUCGUGCUGUGUGCCGUUCGUAUCUCAUUUAUUUCUCAAAUAACCCCUCGGGGGCAGGAGAGAGGUGCACAGCAGUUACGUUUUUUUUUUCUGUUGAGAAAGAGGAGGCCAGGCAUUGUGUUCUCUGCCAGAUGUCACCUGGCCCCCUUCACCAUGUCCUGGGAAAAUGCCCUAUGUCCCCAAGUCCUGGGUGGGCAGGGCUGCCGUGACCUGGAAGCCCUAGGAGGGGUGCUCCUGGCCAAACCCCAAAAGUCCAGGGUCCACCCGGCCCACCUCCUUUGCCCCAUCUGCUCCACGGGCCCCUGACCUCGGUCGUGUGGUGAUCAAGACAGGCGAGAGGCGGGGUGACUGAGCCCUGAGGGCCCACAGGGACAGAGUCUGUCACCUCCAAGCGGAAAAAGAGGCUACUCCAAGAAGUCCAAGUGAUCAGAAUUCAGUGGUGGCCUGGUGUCCUCAGCAAGUGACUUCUGAGAUUAGACUUUGAGCAUUUUCUUUCCCUUUUUUUGUGGGGGAGGGGGGAGCAGGGACACGGGCCAGGGACAAAGCAGUGCAAACCUUUGCGAAUAAAGGGAGGAAAGGCCCCCUGCCACCGCCCCUGAGAGAGAAAACAAAACGGCAGUUACAAUGGAGUGGUCAAAAGUACCCAAAAUUGGAGUUCCCGUUGUGGCUCAGCAGGUUAAAAACCCAAUGUAGAGUCCUUGAAGAGGCAGGUUCGAUCCCUGGCCUCGCUCAGUGGGUUAAGGAGCCAGCAUUGCUGAGAGUCCUGUGGGGUAGGUCGCAGGUGUGGCUCAGAUCUGGAGUGGCUGUGGCUGUGGCGUAGGCUGGCAGCUGCCCCUCCGAUUCAAACCACAGCCCAGGAACCCCCAUAUGCCACAGGUGCAGCUGUAAAAAGAAACAGGGAAAAAAUACCUACAAUUGACUACAUAAAUUUUGGAAUAUAAUUCUGCAUUGUUUGUACUGAGUCACGGUAAAAGUCAUACAUUUUUGGUAAAGAUAGAUCAUAAAAGCAGAGAAAGCCCUAGGGAGGCUGGAAGAGGCUACACCCUUCCAGGGGGCGGGGGGCGGGGGGGCAGUAGCCGGCUCCUGCCCUUUGAGCAUCGUGCAGGCUCGCACCUGCCCAGACCUCUCCAACCAAGCCUUUGACGAGGUCCAUUCUCCGCUCCUGGCUUCUUGUGCAACCUGUCUUGCUGCCUUCCGAGAGGAGGGUUGAGACUCGUGCUGGCUUGGGAAUAAAUCCUACCCGUCAGAGGAGGCACAUUUGCAAGGAAUUCAUGUCCCACUGCUGCCAGGGAACUCCAGAGCCCUCCUUCCACACCAAGCCCCCCCCCCCCCACGUUGCUGAGCAGCCCCCAGGGGCCCCCGUGUCUGUCUCCUCAGCCAUCUGACAAACUGGACAAGCACCAAAUGUACAGUCAUAGCAUUGUCCCAGCAAUCCAGAUAGUUCUGCCUGGGGCCCUGGAAACUGGCAGGAAGGGCCCUUCCAAAUGUUUAUACUUGAGGAGUUCCCAUCGUGGCUCAGUGGUAACAAACCCAACUAGUAUCCAUGAGGAUGCAGGUUCAAUCCCUGGCCUUGCUCAGCGGGUUAAGGAUCUGGCACUGCUAUGGCUGUGGUGUAGGUUGGCAGCUCAGCUCAGAUUCAACCCCUAGCCUGGGAAAUUCCGUAUGCUGCAGGUGUGGCCCUAAAACGAAAAAAAAAAAAAAAAAAAAAAAA